GAUGAACGCUGGCGGCGUGCCUAAUACAUGCAAGUCGAGCGAACAGAUGAGGAGCUUGCUCCUCUGACGUUAGCGGCGGACGGGUGAGUAACACGUGGAUAACCUACCUAUAAGACUGGGAUAAAUUCGGGAAACCGGAGCUAAUACCGGAUAAUAUAUUGAACCGCAUGGUUCAAUAGUGAAAGACGGUUUUGCUGUCACUUAUAGAUGGAUCCGCGCCGCAUUAGCUAGUUGGUAAGGUAACGGCUUACCAAGGCGACGAUGCGUAGCCGACCUGAGAGGGUGAUCGGCCACACUGGAACUGAGACACGGUCCAGACUCCUACGGGAGGCAGCAGUAGGGAAUCUUCCGCAAUGGGCGAAAGCCUGACGGAGCAACGCCGCGUGAGUGAUGAAGGUCUUCGGAUCGUAAAACUCUGUUAUUAGGGAAGAACAAAUGUGUAAGUAACUAUGCACGUCUUGACGGUACCUAAUCAGAAAGCCACGGCUAACUACGUG
rnacentral:rRNA from 1 species